GAGUUUGAUCUUGGCUCAGGACGAACGCUGGCGGCGUGCUUAACACAUGCAAGUCGAGCGGUAAGGCCUUUCGGGGUACACGAGCGGCGAACGGGUGAGUAACACGUGGGUGAUCUGCCCUGUACUUCGGGAUAAGCCUGGGAAACUGGGUCUAAUACCGGAUAUGACCACUUCUCGCAUGGGGGGUGGUGGAAAGCCUUGUGCGGUAUGGGAUGGGCCCGCGGCCUAUCAGCUUGUUGGUGGGGUAAUGGCCUACCAAGGCGACGACGGGUAGCCGGCCUGAGAGGGCGACCGGCCACACUGGGACUGAGACACGGCCCAGACUCCUACGGAAGGCAGCAGUGGGGAAUAUUGCACAAUGGGCGCAAGCCUGAUGCAGCGACGCCGCGUGGGGGAUGACGGCCUCGGUUG
rnacentral:rRNA from 1 species